CAGCAGCCGCGGUAAUGCGUAGGUGGCAAGCGUUGUCCGGAAUUAUUGGGCGUAAAGGGCUCGCAGGCGGUUUCUUAAGUCUGAUGUGAAAGCCCCCGGCUCAACCGGGGAGGGUCAUUGGAAACUGGGAAACUUGAGUGCGGAAGAGGAGAGUGGAAUUCCACGUGUAGCGGUGAGAUGCGUAGAGAUGUGGAGGAACACCAGUGGCGAAGGCGACUCUCUGGUCUGUAACUGACGCUGAGGAGCGAAAGCGUGGGGAGCGAACAGGAUUAGAUACCCCUGUAGUCCCUGUCUCUUAUAC
rnacentral:rRNA from 1 species